UACAGAGGUCUCAAGCGUUGUUCGGAUUCAUUGGGCGUAAAGGGUGCGUAGGUGGCGUCGUAAGUCAGGUGUGAAAUCUCGGGGCUCAACCCCGAAACUGCACUUGAUACUGCGAUGCUUGAGUACUGGAGAGGAGAUUGGAAUUACGGUGUAGCAGUGAAAUGCGUAGAUAUCGUAAGGAAGACCAGUGGCGAAGGCGGGUCUCUGGACAGUUCCUGACGCUGAGGCACGAAGGUCAGGGGAGCAAACGGG
rnacentral:rRNA from 1 species